GAUGAGGUGGCCGAGUGGUUAAGGUGAUGGACUGUUAAUCCAUUGUACUCUACACGCAUGGGUUCGAAUCCCAUCCUUGUCG
rnacentral:tRNA from 1 species